GGCAAAUGCUUCACACACUUUGUAUCGUUUGUGAUAAGUAAUCCUUAUACACGCAAAAUGGUGAAAGGCCUCCUCGUUCUGAUCGCAGUUGUGAUGCUGGCUGGUCUUAGCCACCAGCAAGGAGUGGGCCAAGGUGGUUCUGGAGCUGGAGGCGUUGGCGGAAAUGCCGGUGGUAGUUUUGGAGCUGGGUUCAGUUUGGGAGCCAAUGCUGGCGGACAGGCUGGUGGUCAGGCCGGUGGACAAGGAGCGGGUGGGGCUGGCAAGUGAACAUAUUUACGAAAGAGAAAACACUACACUGCGUGAAGAGAUCAACAUGCUAACAUUUACAUUUAAAAUCCAUUCAUUACUAACUAAUGCUGCAUUAGAAUAAAUAUACACACAUAUA